rnacentral:misc_RNA from 1 species
GGGCAUUCCGGUUCCAUAUAAUGCUCGACAUUCGCCACGUGGCAUAUUUUGCAGCCGCACAUUAAAUCUACGAUCAAUCAGUGCAAUUGGAUAUGAUAUGGACUAUACACUGAUGCACUAUAACGUGAUGGCCUGGGAAGGAAGGGCUUAUGAUUACUGCAUGGAGAAUCUGAGAAAUGUGGGUUUCCCUGUGGAUGGGCUUGCAUUUGACCCUGAUCUGGUGAUAAGAGGCCUUGUAAUAGACAAAGAGAAAGGUAACCUAGUUAAAGCAGACAGAUUUGGAUAUAUCAAGAGGGCAAUGCAUGGAACAAGAAUGCUUUCAACUCGAGAAGUGAGUGAGAUCUACGGGAGAGAACUGGUUGACCUGCGUAAGGAGAGUAAAUGGGAGUUCCUGAAUACACUAUUCUCAGUUUCAGAAGCAGUGGCUUAUAUGCAGUUGGUAGAUAGGCUGGAUAAAGGAGUUAUAGGACCAGAUCUCUGUCCAA